GGCCCCCUACGGGGCGCAGCAGUGGGGAAUAUUGGGCAAUGGGCGCAAGCCUGAACGAGCAAUGCCGCGUGAACGAGGAAGGUCUUCGGAUCGUAAAGUUCUGUUGAAGGGGAAAAAGAGCGGAGAGAGGAAAUGGUCUCCGAUUGAUAUUACCCUUCGAGGAAGUCACGGCUAACUACGUGCCAGCAGCCGCGGUAAUACGUAGGUGGCGAGCGUUAUCCGGAAUGAUUGGGCGUAAAGGGUGCGCAGGUGGUUUAUUAAGUCUGGUGUAAAAGGCAGUGGCUCAACCAUUGUAUGCAUUGGAA
rnacentral:rRNA from 1 species